rnacentral:lncRNA from 1 species
CUUAAGGCCCCUGCAGGCACUACACCAUUACCAAAUCAUCCAUUUCACACAGUUUUUCUAGAUUUUAUUCAGCUAACACCAUGUGAAGGUAAACAAUAUUGUCUAGUAGUGUUAGAUGGAUUUACUAGGUGGGUAGAAAUUUUCCCCACAGCAAAAGCAGAUGCACUGACAGUAGCAAAAGUUUUAUGUAGAGAGAUCAUUCCCAGGUUUGGCAUCCCGAAGGUCAUCUGGAGCGACAAUGGAAGCCAUUUUGUAAAUGAGAUAGUGAAAACUGUAGGAGUAACUUUGGGCAUUGAUUUGAAGAAUCACUGCGCAUACCACCCCCAGAGUGCAGGGUUGGUUGAAAGAGUCAACGGUACUAUUAAGAACAGACUGAAGAAAUGUAUGGACGAGACAGGAAAGAACUGGAUGUUUUGUCUCGACCUGGUGAAAUUAUGGAUGCACAUAACACCACACAAGAAAACAGGCAUCACACCCUUUGAAGCAUUAUAUGGGCGGCCUUAUUGCCUACCAUACUUUGCAACAACAAAUGAGCUAAAACAUGUUGAAGAAACAAUAGCAGAUUAUCUGAAAAAAGUGUUACUUAACCGAUGUGUGAAUACAGUAAAUGUUCUGCCUAGUCCUGUGUCUUCCACAGAUUCCACCCCCCAGGAACCCAUUCAACCGGGCGACUACGUGUGGGUGAAGAAGUUUGUGCGGAAGAGGUGGAACACGCCUAGAUGGGAAGGUCCUUAUCAAGUACAGCUGACCACAAAGACUGCAGUUCGAGUGGAAGCUUGAACUGCUCGUCAGCUCUCCCUUGCAAGGCCACCUGUUGUCUGUGUGGUUGAUCUGAGUCUAGUAAACGAACAGCGCGGGUGACCAAACAUCACCCUCACACACCGUCAUGCGAUCUACGUCGUAGUCGGACGGAACGGGAUAGGGCCCCACGUAAUUGAGGUGAAUUUCUGAGCUAAAUUUGUGUGGGAAAUACCCCUUGGUCUUGUCAGUGAAUCCUAAGGCUUUGGGCAUAGCGCUGAGACGCAUGGGGAGAAAUGACAGGGAAUCUAUGAAUUUGAGACCAUAAUGGGAUUCCUCAAAACUGAGGAUUUUACUCCCGUUCAUCAGAAUCUGUUGUGGCGUCACAUCCAGUUCCAACAUACCUUUUAACACCAGAUAACUGUCAAACCCCUUGGCAUUAUGGGCUAUAAAGAUGUUCUGUUUGUAUCGUGGCUUCCUGAAAUGCAAAAUAAACAUUUUAGCACAGUCAAGACCAUAAAACGCCUUCUCUUCACCUUUGGAUGUUUUUGUAUGCACUAAAAAAGGAACAUGCUCUCCAUUUUGACCCACAAAUGUUUCAAAAUCAUAAAAAACCAAAUCAGGAUGUGAGAUGUCUGGUUGGAGGGUAGGAAUGUAACAACUAUGAUCGACUUUAGAGUCGCUCUGCAGUUUUUCACCACAGAUUUUACAUUUUUUCACCGCACAGCGAUGCUUUGCAUCGUCUAACGACAAAUUGACACUGUAGUAUAGUUCGCAUCGUGCGCAUUUUUUGAUUUGGUCGCAGAGGCUGGACUUUCUGCUUGAACCGACCAAUUUGUGUCUGGUGAAACAAGAGGGUGAGCGACACGUUCUGUUACAGUCAGAGCAAACCACUGUGUUGAACCCUUCUGUGGGGCAGGCAGGAUCGUUGCACACUGCGCAGUAACCUUUACAAAAGUGGGUAUAGGGGUGCUUAAAAGUCUUGUAACAAUAAUUACAGACUGACGACCCCAGGAAGGCUUUGAGAUUUUUUAUCCCAUAAUAGUGAUUUUGUAGUAAAAAGAGAAACAACUGAUUGGAACGAUCAGAGAAUUUUGUCUCAUAAUGUGAGAGGGGUUUACUGUGGCAUGUUCUGUAAAACACAACAAUUUUACGCCCCAGAAUAUUUUCAAAUUUACCAAUGUCACUGAAAGUGACGGGGGUCUCAUCAUUUAAACCAGCCUGAUGCUGCAACUUCCUCACAAUAUCAAGGCAUUCUCUUUCAGUAAGUUUCGGGUAGAUAACGUGAGCUAGACUGAUGGCGAAGCAAAGCUGGUUGUCUCUGUUGUCUACGAUAAAUAAGUGACGUCUUUUUUUGUCAAUGAUUUCACAGUCUAGAGUUUUCUCCAUCUUACGUUUGGCACCUCCUCCUGGGUUCUGCACCACGUGAAGGAUGAAUUCUAUAUUCUCAUCCGAUGAAAUGAUACCGUUUGACUGCACAAUCCGAUCUAGCAUUCCAUUAAAAGCCGGUAGAAUAUUUUCACCUUGUUCAUCCACAGCAACUGUAACAUGAUUGUGUACGUUUUCACCCACCACCUCCAACUGUAUUAAAUCAUUGCGACUACUAUGUCGUCUGGCAACAUCCACCAAUUCGCUGAUAACCCCUGUUACAUCUCGAUAGAAUGUUGCAAUGUCAGGCACAUUUCCCCGAGUGGGAAUGUUAAAGGAGCGUCUUGUUCUCCAUGUGAUAAAAUCAUUAAAAAACCUCUCACCCCGCUCAGGAGAGAGAUCGGAUGGAUUUUCUCCUAGCCCUCCUCCCCCUUGCUGAGGAGAAAGAUGGGCUGAGGGGCUGCUCUCUGACCCCCCUUCUCCUGGCCUCUCAUCCUGUUCAGGAGGGGGGUUAGGAAGAGCCGAUUGUGUCUCUGCUGAAUCCGUCUCUGAUCUGAUUGUUACCGCGUGUAAGACAUGAUCACUUUGCGUGUGGAGAGCUGAUGAAGGAGAAUGAUUUUCAAACUCUACUGCAUUAACUGCAUUAAGGUUUUCGAGGGCAUCAUUUAUGAGUUGUAAGGUGUCAAGUUCUAGGACGUUUUCAUUUUGCUCUGUAAAUUGUAAAUUUAUUGGAAUGGAGAUUGGAAUUUCACUUAAUUGAUCAACAGCUAUUUGUAAAGCAUUCGGUACUUGAUUAAAAUAUUCAACAUUGAAAUCCUCAUCACUUAAUUGAUCAACAGCUAUUUGUAAAGCAUUCGGUACUUGAUUAAAAUAUUCAACAUUGAAAUCCUCAUCACUUAAUUGAUCAACAGCUAUUUGUAAAGCAUUCGGUACUUGAUUAAAAUAUUCAACAUUGAAAUCCUCAUCCAUAUCUUAAACAAAAGACAGAAAAAGGAAAAAAAAAAUUACAGCUUUUUCAACACUGUUUUAGUACACCUUUGGUUACAAUUGGAGGAAACAAUAUACCGUAUGACAUUAUUGAAAAUCUCCAGCACUACCUUGUCUUGGGGGUGUUGGGAAUGAAUGUAGCAGCCUGUAUCCUCCUCCACCCUGUCAAAGAGCGGAUCAGGAACGCUCUCGUGGUGCUCGUGCUGUUGUUGGGAAUGAUCGUUGCCCCCCGUAUCCCCCUCCACCCUGUUGAAGGACGGUUCAGGGACGCUCUCGUUUAAUCUCAACCCUGAAUCUGUAAUUAGAUGAGAGAUGAGUUAUUAUUUUUUUUAUAUAUUAUUAUUAUUAUUAGUCAAGAAGAUAUAGUAUAAAAUAUACCAUCAAACAAUCUCCUGACAAUGUUAGACUUGUGUCUCUGGUUCCUACGUCUCCUUAUCGGCCUCGCAGGUUCGAAAGGAUCUGGUGAAAGGGAGAGUGGAGCUGCCGUGGGUCCCGCUGUAAGUACAGGGGUCAGAGUGGUACACGCUUGCCGUAUUCUACGUCUCCUCGCAGGGGCAGAAGGUUCACGGGAGGGUGGAAAGGCCGUGGGAGUCACAGUGCUCAGAGAGGCGCACGUUUGAAGGUUCUGUUUUGAUGGUUCUGUUUAGACAGAGGGGAAAAUCGUUAAAAUACAAAUCAUCAAAACGGCACAUAUUUUGUAUAUACUUCUAAUCACAGAUAAAUAUAUUACCUUGUACAGUCGACUUCGGUCCUCCUGGCUGUCUCACACGUCUUCUGGAGAGUUUGUUCGUCUGCUUACUUGAGUCAGUCCCAUGUUGAAGUGCCGAGGUUUCCCUCUCAAUCUCAAUUUCACCAAUUUCAGUUACACAGCAAUUUGUCCCCUGCACGGGGGGUGGGGUUUCAGAACACAGCAAUGCUUUUACUGCUUUUUCAGUUUCUUGGUUGUCUUCGGAUACCAAUCUUUCAGCCCUGGCUAACAGAUCUGAAAAAUGUAUCAUAAAAAGUUAUAUUUCAGCAAUCUAUGAACAACUGAGCUGUUCAUAAAAAACAAAACAAAACAAAACAAAAAAAAAAACUGUAUGUAAAAUACCAAUGUCUGUUUGCGUGAGGGUUAUUCCUUCAAACUCAUCGGCGCUGACUUUAAAGAUACAGAAAAUUACACUUAAAAAUCUAGAAUAAAAAUAGAACAACUUUCAGGUUAAAAAGAUCACGGAUUGCUUACCAGGAUAAAUUGGCAUAUGGUGAACCUCUACUGUAACUUCUAAAACACAGUUAUUCGUAAAUAGUAGUUAAUCAUUAAUAGUUCAUUCAUUAAUAGUUUUCUAAAACUAUUUAGAAAACUACAGAGAAAAAGUUUGGGAAGAAUUUGAGGCUUACCGGUAGUCAUCUUUGCAGCCAUCUUUGUUUGUUACACGCGCUCGCAGACGGUGAAGCUUCCGAUGAAGUUCUGGAGGACUGAGCUAAUGACUGUGAGAUGAUCAUGUAUAUAUUCGCUUUACAAUGCUUGGCGAGAAGGAAAAAAAAAAAAAAAAAAAGUUGAUUGGCGCCGAAAAGUCUGAUAUUGACGAUUGCCCCGGUGGACCAACUGGUGGUGAUGUAGCUCCCAUGGGGAUACCUCCCUACACGGGAACUCUACCAAACAACAGGUUCAGGCGAUAUAACUCAUGUUAAGAAUGUUUUUCUCCAGGAGGGCCUCCAGGUCUCCAGGGGAUUUAAGCUUCUUCAGUUACACACCUCGGACACCGGAAGACAACGUAGGCCCCUAAAUUUCUUACUUGAGGCCACCAACUCUUUUCUCUUUUCUUCUGAACCACAGUGUUAGGGUUCUAACAGUCUAACUUUCUCCAAUAGUUUUCUCUUCUCUAGUUUUCACAAAUGUUUCACAAAAUGUUUGUUCUGUGGAAGGUUUCUGUUCUGUGUUGUUUCUUUCUUCACAGCCUUCUUCAGUCACACACACCAUUCCCGGUUUGAUCAGUUUCAACACACCCCAGUCAUUGGAAGACAUCGUAGCCGACAACAUAGGCCCCUCACUGGAAGAUUCUUCCCGCUGAUAGAGAAUCAACUCCCCCGUCUUGUAACGGAACACAUACCCAAAACUCCCUGUUUGACUAUAAGGCUCCAAAGACCAUUCUUGCUGCAAAGGCUCACAAGGUGACGCCUGAGAACGCUGUACAAACACCGUGGAUUUUUCAACUACUUUUCCACACAAUUCUCUUAUAACGGUCACAGCCGUCUCACCAAUCACGGAUGUAGAACUACUCAUGUUGUCCACAGAUGGCUAUGCCAGGACUAUGGCAAAACUGUUUUGUAACUGUUUUGUAACUGCUGCCCUUCCUUUUUAAAAAAAGGCGGGAGGGA